rnacentral:siRNA from 1 species
CUGUUGUUCGCAGAGCUGCCU